GAAGCGCAAUGGAUAGCGUGUUGGACUUUUUAUCCAAAGGCCGUGGCCUCGAAUCCCACCUGGAAUG